CGAGGUGAUCGCUGAUGUUAUUUUCAACUCCCCCUAAGACAGUUCCCAAGUCGAGCUCCUUGAGAGACAUCCGGAUGAUGCGGAUGAGGAGGUUCAUCCGCUCGCACUCCUGGAAGGCGACCACGACGUAGGGCGUCCGCUCCUCCACCUUGCCCGUGAUGUCGGACAUGUUGAACUCCUCGGGCAGCUUCUCCAGGAUCUCGUCCAGGGUCUGCUUCACCUGAAAGAGGCAAGAGGGGUGGUUUUGUAAUCCUUAGAUCCUAAAGUUUUGAAAAGCGUAAUUCGGAAUGUGGAUGAGGUACAUAAACCCCGGAAAUUAUUCCUUCCUUAAUGAGGGGAAGGAUUGCUAAACGCUAUCAUAGAGAUAACGUUACUGUCCUAGCCGCUUUUAUAAUUAUAGGCGUUCAAUAGCGAUCGAAGGACCACAGGGAAGGCCGUACCUUAUCCUCCCUUGUGAUGACGACGCCGCUUGUGUUCCCCAUGUCUCGCGGCUGGAGCUCGAACACCGUCUUGAAGAGGUGCUCCGACGUCAUGCUACCUGGUCUGGGUGCAGGAACUCCUCGAGGUACGUGCGACACAGCCUGCGGUCCCAGUCGUCCGUAAUGUGGCCCCCGUACAUGAUCUCCCCGAAGAGGUAGCGGAGGUCCUCCCAGGGAACCUUGCUGUUCGCCUCCAGGAUAGCCACUUUGGUCCCCGAAUGUACCGGUGUUGAAGGGGUAGGGUCUGUUCCAUCCCUGCGACCCGAACUUUCUCCUCUCCGCGACGCAUGCGUGGAAGUAAC